CAAGAGGCCUAUUUAGUGUGCUGCCAUCAGAUGGCUUCAUCUGGUUGGCCUCUUGUA
rnacentral:miRNA from 1 species